UAGGAAUAUGGGGGGAACCGGGAAUAAGGAGGAAGAGAGAGAAUAAGGUGGAAGAGAGAGAAUAAGGUGCAAGAGAGAGAAUAAGGUGGAAGAGACAGAAUAAGGUGGAAGAGACAGAAUAAGGUGGAAGAGACAGAAUAAGGUGGAAGAGACAGAAUAAGGUGGAAGAGACAGAAUAAGGUGGAAGAGAGAGAAUGAGGUGGAAGAGACAGAAUAAGGUGGAAGAGACAGAAUAAGGUGGAAGAGACAGAUCAAGGUGGAAGAGAGAGAAUGAGGUGGAAGAGAGAGAAUGAGGUGGAAGAGACAGAAUAAGGUGGAAGAGAGAGAAUGAGGUGGAAGAGAGAGAAUGAGGUGGAAGAGAGAGAAUGGGGUGUAAGAGAGGGAAUGUCAGCCCUGGAGCAUCCUAUAGGGAGGUGUUGCAACAGAUAUUUCACCCAGGAACCUCACAGCACAAAGGAGAAAGAUGACAGAUGAGAUAGAGGAUGAGGUCUGACGGCCUGUCUGUAGCAGACAAAAUAUUAAAAAAGACAGACAGACAGACAGACAGAGAGAGAGAGACAGAGAGAGAGAGAGAGAGAGAGAGAAUAGUUUGAAUAAAGAAAGAAUGGCCUCCUUCCCUCCAUACAACAUUCUUCCAAACCCCCAUGUUCUCUCUCAGAGAGGUCAGACUCGGGGUUACUUCCCAGAAAUGGUCCCACCCUCCACAGCUCUCCAUAACAAAGCUCUGGAAUACUGAUUAGGAUAAUAGUGAAUUGUAAUGUAUUUAAGGACAGGAUCAUACAAACAUUUGGGUUGUAUUACCACACUACGUGUACUACGUGGAAAAGAGGAAGUGUGGACCAAUGUUAAAUCAAAACAAACAUUCUACACCGACAGUGAGCUCAACCAUCUGGUGAGGAUUUCUGAUUUUGCAACAUUUAGUUGCUACCGCACUAGACUGUUUUCACCCAACUCAGUCCAGUUAAACUGGCUUGAUUAUGAAGGCUUCAUUCAUGUGUUUCAUGUGGAUUUCAUAAUGUGUUUCUAUGUUUGUGCACGCCUAUGGGCGUUUAUCAGUCUGUUUGAAUCCCCAGUAGCCAUUUGCAGGUACUUUAGCAAGAGCUAUACUCUGCCUUGUCUCAGGAUGGUAAGUUGGUGGUCGAAGAUAUCCCUCUAGUGGUGUGGGGGCUGUGCUUUGGCAAAGUGGGUGGGGUUAUAUCCUGCCUGUUUGGGCCUGUCCGGGGGUAUCGUCGGACGGGGACACAGUGUCUCCCGACCCCUCCUGUCUCAGCCUCCAGUAUUUAUGCUGCAAAAGUUUGUGUCGGGGGGCUAGGGUCAGUCUGUUACAUCUGGAGUAUUUCUCCUGUCUUAUCCGGUGUCUUGUGUGAAUUUAAGUAUGCUCUCUCUAAUUCUCUCUCUUUUUCUCUCUCUCUCUCUCUCUCUCUCUCUCUCUCUCUCUCUCUCUCUCUCUCUCUCUCUCUCUCUCUUUCUCUCGGAGGACCUGAGCCCUAGGACCAUGCCUCAGGACUACCUGGCCUGAUGACUCCUUGCUGUCCCCAGUCCACCUGGUCGUGCUGCUGCUCCAGUUUACACUGUUUUGCCUGCGGCUAUGGAACCCUGACCUGUUCACCGGACGUGCUACCUUGUCCCAGACCUGCUGUUUUCAACUCUCUAGAGUUGACAACUGACAUUUAAUCCUGAGUAUUAGCAUACCCAUGGCGGGAAAGCCCGGCAUGCCAUUUUCUGAUUGGGGGCACCAACGCCGAGGAAAACAGCCAACCAACGAGAGGACCGCCUGCAGGGACAGCUGCCGUGUCAUUCAAAUGAACUGAGGACAUUUCUGCUCAUCAUGACUCUCUUUCUCUCUCUGUGUGUGUGUGUGUGUGUGUGUGUGUGUGUGUGUGUGUGUGUGUGUGUGUGUGUGUGUGUGUGUGUGUGUGUGCGUGUCUGCGUGCGUGCGUGUGUGUGUGUGUGUGCGCGUGCGUGUAAAAGAGAGAGAGAUGGAGAAAGAGUCAGGGGGAAGCAUAGCGAAUUUGACCGAUUGAAAAUUGAUGCAGUUUGUUUUUCCAACAGACUGGAGCAUGAACACGGUGAAAAAAUUCACUUUUCAACACUCUUUCAGUGUUCUUUCAUCACUCUUUGUAGUGCCAUCUGAGGCCACUGGCUCGUUCCCUUGUUUUCGGGGGUAGGCGUUCAAAUGGGCCUUUUCCUCUGGGAGGCCUGAGUGGAACACAUUCAUCACAUGGGCUCCAAUCUCUCUCUCUUCUCACUUCUCACUUUUGGUCUCUCUUUUCUCUUGCUCUUUUCCUCUCUCACCCCAGGUAGCACAUUUGGUUCCUUGAAAGAUGUGGGAAUUAAGUCAAGUUUCCUGACCAUUAAAAUGUUUUAUAAACGUUCUGAGAACGGAACUGGAAAUGUCACCUGUUAUGGGAGCGUACAUUUUUAGGUUGCAUGGAGGUUCUGAGAACAUUUUUCUAUGGUUCACUGAACGUUUUCCUGGGAAAUUAUAGGUUAUUUGACCUUUAAUAACACUGCUAGCAUAAUUUGGGUUAAUUGUUUUGAACUCCAAGCACAGAUAGAAAUUCAAUUGAUUAGGCAUUAAUCAUGUGAACACAUAUUUUAUUUUAUUGUAGCAUGGUGUCUGUGAGACUCAAACCUAUGAUCUUCUGUUCUCUAUCCAUGGAAUCAGUCCGCUGCGCCACCAGGAUGGAGCUACCAUGCCAUGUUCUUUUUUUUACUCAUACAAUCCUGUUCAUUUUUGCCCAUUUAAACAGAUUCUAUUUCAAAGGAAAGAAGCACUCAGUAACAUCAACACACCUGAACAUAAGAUAGAGGAUAGAGCGAGUGUAAUGCAUACUCAGGGAGAAAAAGGUGUAGAUUCACACGCAGAGCACAGCAGAUGUUUAUUAAGCCUUCGCAGAAGGUAGGAAUUGUGGUCGCAGGCAGACAAUGGUCAAACACAGGUAGGCAGUCAAAAACAAACAAUACCUCACAACCAUACAAACAGAAAGAACUGAACUAAAUAGGAAACUGGUGAGAUCAGGUGAGAUACGAACACAGGUGAAAACAAUGAACAAAAAUGAAAGACAUGGCUACGUUCAAGAACACGAAGAAACAGAGCUACGUUCAAGAACACAAAGAAAAAGUACACAAGGUUGACUAAGAAAAGAAAAGCAGAACCUUAGAGAGAGUUUUGUUGAUGCUAAGAAUGGAAUGUAUGUUUUUAAAUAACAUUCUUAGAACGUUUUUUGAAUGUUACUCGUGUUUUCUUUAACGUUCGAAGAACAUGCCUAUAAACAGAACCACGAGGAAACCUGCAGAAAACGUUAUACUUAAGUACUGGAAUUCCCACAGAAAAACGUUGUUUCUUAAUGUUCUCCGAUUGUUCUGAGAACAUGAGUUUAAAUAGAAUCACGAGGAAACCUGUAGAAAACGUUAUGCUGAAGGACUGAAAUUCACACAGAAGAAUGUUGUUUCUUAGAACCAUGGGGAAACCUGUAGGAAACGUUAUGGGAAGGUUGUGUGCAAAAUAACUAGGACAACCACGCUCUCACCAAGCUAAGAAACAUGUGGUUCUCAGAACGUUAAAUGCUAGCUGGAGCUUUGCUCUUUCCAACUCCAACUCCAACACUCCAACAUUCAACUCCAACAUUCAUCUUCUGCACAUCUGUUUAAUUGCUAAAUUGUAAUUAUUUUGCCACUAUGGCCUAUUUAUUGCCUUACCUCCCUUAUCUUACCUCAUUUGCACACACUGUAUAUAGACUCUAUUGUGUUAUUGACUGUAUGUUUGUUUAUCCCAUGUGUAACUAUGUGUUGUUGUUUGUGUUGCACGGCUUUGCUUUAUCUUGUCCAGGUCGCAGUUGUAAAUGAGAACUUGUUCUCAACUAGCCUACCUGGUUAAAUAAAAAAUGAACUCUC